rnacentral:lncRNA from 1 species
AUGAAAGGCUUUCAUGCUAGAAGUAAUAGGGGAAGUUUUAAGUACUUCAACCAAAAGAAAGGAUAUUUUAAUAGUAGUAAUAACCAGAAUGUCGAAGGAGGGAGAAGGUACUGGAACCAGAUGAACAUUGAGGAGGACAACAGUAAAAAUGUAAUGGACGUGAUGGAUUAUGUUAUUAAUAUAUCUUACAUUUUGAAUGAAAAAUAUGAAAAAUAUAUUGUUCAUGAAAUAAGAGAGGAGAAUAUAAAAAAGCAAAUUGUACUUUUUAAAAGUAUACCCUUUGAAGAAUCUUUUAAUUUGGAGGAUGACAUAUGUAUAUUAAGUAAAAUAAAAACUGAAAUAAAAGGAAUGGAAAAAGAGAUAUUUAUGGGUAGAAAAAGUUCUAAAAUAAUUGAAAAAUUAAUUUAUGUUUGUUUUUUUAUUUUAAAAUAUAAUGAAGAUAAAGUAAAAAAUAAUGAUAUAAGUAUUCAGUGUAUAUUACUUUAUAACAAUUUUUUAAAAAUUGUAUAUUCUGAUUUUAAGAUUUUAGCUAAAUGCAAUUAUGCAUCACAUGUGGUUGAAACUAUAAUUGCUUUAUUUCCUUUUUUUAAUAAAUAUGAAGAAAAAUAUAUAGAAGAUAUAAAAAAAGAAUAUCUAUGUUAUACAACAAUAUUCGAAUGUUUCCAAUCUAUAUGUAAUAUUAUAAUAGAUUAUUUUAUUUAUUUAAUGUUUGAUAAAUGUGGAUCUCACGUAUUUAGAGCAUUUUUAUAUUCAAUAGGUGGUUAUUUAAAUGUUAAUAUAGGUCAUAUAUCGUUUAGAAAAUCUAAGUCAAACAAUAGUGUAGAUAAAAAGGAGUUAAAUUAUUUAAAAACAGAAUACUGUACUAAUGCUUUAAGUAAAUUGUUUUAUGAAUAUAUUUAUAAAAUUGUUGAAAAAAUACAAGAAGAGGUGACAUCUCCAAGUAUAUCACUUCAAUAUAAAAAUUUCUUAUAUCAAUAUAUUUUUUAUACUUCAACCGGUUUGAAUACUUCAACUGGUUUGAAUACUUUAACCGGUUUGAAUANNNNNNNNNNGGUUUGA